rnacentral:rRNA from 1 species
GCACCCGGCUACGGCCGGGAUGUUCAUAACCCUUUGUUGUCCGACUCUGUUGCCUCCGGGGCGACCCUGCCUUCGGGCGGGGGCUCCGGGUGGACACUUCAAACUCUUGCGUAACUUUGCAGUCUGAGUAAACUUAAUUAAUAAAUUAAAACUUUUAACAACGGAUCUCUUGGUUCUGGCAUCGAUGAAGAACGCAGCGAAAUGCGAUAAGUAAUGUGAAUUGCAGAAUUCAGUGAAUCAUCGAAUCUUUGAACGCACAUUGCGCCCCCUGGUAUUCCGGGGGGCAUGCCUGUUCGAGCGUCAUUUCACCACUCAAGCCUCGCUUGGUAUUGGGCAACGCGGUCCGCCGCGUGCCUCAAAUCGUCCGGCUGGGUCUUCUGUCCCCUAAGCGUUGUGGAAACUAUUCGCUAAAGGGUGUUCGGGAGGCUACGCCGUAAAACAACCCCAUUUCUAAGGUUGACCUCGGAUCAGGUAGGGAUACCCGCUGAACUUAAGCAUAUCAAUAAGGCGGAGGAA